rnacentral:lncRNA from 1 species
CUUUGUGCAGCCCUCUCUCCCUCCACUACUUCGUGACACCCUGUAGCUAGUUCGGUACAACACAGCGAAGCCCUACCGGAGUAGAUCCACCAUCGUCACCGUCACGCCGUCGUUCAGCCAGAGAAUUCAGCUACCUCUUCGUCUCUCUUGAUGGAUCAAGAAGGCGGAGGUCGUCAUCGAUCUGUACGUGUGCUUAACGCGGAGGUGUUGUCCGUUCGGCGCUAGAUCGGGACGGAUCAUGGGACGGCGGCGAUUUGUAUCGCGAAGACGUUCCACUACAUCAACCGCAUUUCUUAAUGCUUCCCGCUUAACGAUCUACAAGGGCAUGUGGAUGUGAUCUCCCUCUCGUAGAUGAUCAUCACCAUGAUAGGUCGUCGUGUGCGUAGGAAUUUUCUUGUUGCCCAUGCAACGUUCCCCAACAAAAAUGAUCUCCAAAAAUAUGACUUGAGUCUGAGCAAUCGUAGAAUAAUAAACUAUAGUUGAUUAUGUGAAUUUCCCAAUAAGAAAGCUCUUAAAUAGACUCUCCUGUGAAAUAUGUUUAAUUAUGAUUGUCACGGUGACUAAGAACAUUGUUUGUUGUUUGUUAACAAAGUAUAUGCUUCAUAUUCCGAUAUUUGUGAAUGGAUCGUUACUUUUUAAGAGAAGAUAUAUGAUAAAAUAGAUGGCAGUAUGCUAAUAUUCAUGAUGCUCUCAUGUCCGUAUUUUAUUUCUAUCGACUUCUCCCUCUCAAAUCAUGUGUCAAUUAUUCUCGAGCUCCGCUUUCGCUUGAGGACAAGCGAGGUCUAUGCUUGGGGGAGUUGAUACGUCCAUUUUGCAUCAUGAAUCUUUAUUGAUAUUUAUCUCAUUAUUGUCCAUUAUUCCUUGUUAUUAUGUAAUUCUUAUGUCUUUUCUCUCUAAAUAUGCAAGGUACAUUAUGAAGAGGGAAGUAUCUGAAAACUAGAAUUCUGGACCGAGAAACUCAGAAAAAGGCAGAAAAAUCAAGUUGCUCCAGAUGACCUGAAAUUUCACGUAGAAUUUUUCUGGAAUAUAUAAUAAUUAUUGGGCCAAAAUACACCGCAGAGGGGCAACCACUUGGUCACAAGCCAAUAGGGCGCCCCCCUGGUCGCGCCCUGCUUGGUUGUGGGGCCCUUGUUGGACCUCCCACACAUCUCUUCUCCUAUAUGGUGUGCUUUGCCCUAGGAAAAAAUAAAUACAUAAAUUUCGGGAUGAAGCGCCUCCGUCUUGCGGCGGAAACCUAGACACAGGCCGUUUUGCUCUCCGGCAGAGCAAUUCUGCAGGAUGAAUUCCUCUCCGAGAGGGGGAAAUCAAAGCUAUCGUCAUCACAUAUGCCUCCUCUUUCAUGGGAGGACCAAUCUUCAUCAACAUAUUCACAAACACCAUCUCAUCUCCAACCCUAGUUCAUCUCGUGUAUUCAAUCUUUGUCUCAAAACCUCAAAUUGGUACCUGUGGGUUGCUAGUUGUGUUAAUUACAUCUUGUAGUUGAUGCUAGAUGGAUUACUUGGUGGAAGACAUAAUGUUCAUAUCCUUAAUCAUAUUUUUACACCUAUGAUGUUGAAAAUUUUGAUGAGGUGUGAGUAGUUGCUAUUGUUCCUGAGGACAUGGGAG